GUGCUCGCUUUGGCAGCACACACGCUGCAAUUGGAACCAUGCAGAGACGAUGAGCAUGGCCCCCGCACGGGGACGACACUCAAAUUCCUGAAGCGUUCCAUAUUAAA